rnacentral:rRNA from 1 species
UACAGAGGUCUCAAGCGUUGUUCGGAUUCAUUGGGCGUAAAGGGUGCGUAGGCGGCGCGGUAAGUCGGGUGUGAAAUCUCGGGGCUUAACUCCGAAACUGCAUUCGAUACUGCCGUGCUUGAGGACUGGAAAGGAGACUGGAAUUUACGGUGUAGCGGUGAAAUGCGUAGAUAUCGUAAGGAAGACCAGUGGCGAAGGCGGGUCUCUGGACAGUUCCUGACGCUGAGGAGCGAAAGCGUGGGGAGCAAACAGG